AUUUAUUCCUGAGCUAUAGGACAGGUUCAAUAUUUGCAAUUCAAUCAAUGUGAUAUAUCACCUUAAUAGAAGAAAGGGUAAGAACCAUAUGAUUCUCUCAAUAGAUGCAG